rnacentral:rRNA from 1 species
AUUGAACGCUGGCGGCAGGCCUAACACAUGCAAGUCGAGCGGAUGAAGGGAGCUUGCUCCUGGAUUCAGCGGCGGACGGGUGAGUAAUGCCUAGGAAUCUGCCUGGUAGUGGGGGAUAACGUCCGGAAACGGGCGCUAAUACCGCAUACGUCCUGAGGGAGAAAGUGGGGGAUCUUCGGACCUCACGCUAUCAGAUGAGCCUAGGUCGGAUUAGCUAGUUGGUGGGGUAAAGGCCUACCAAGGCGACGAUCCGUAACUGGUCUGAGAGGAUGAUCAGUCACACUGGAACUGAGACACGGUCCAGACUCCUACGGGAGGCAGCAGUAGGGAAUAUUGGACAAAGGGCGAAAGCCUGACGCAGCCAUGCCGCGUGUGUGAUGAAGGUCUUCGGAUCGUAAAGCUCUGUAAGUUGGGAGGAAGAGCAGUAAGAGAAAACAUUCAUGUUUUGACGGUACCAACAGAAAAAGCACCGGCUAACUACGUG